rnacentral:rRNA from 1 species
UCUGGUGGCGAUGCGCUUAGGGGACACACCCGUUCCCAUCCCGAACACGAUGGUUAAGACCUAAGCGGCCGAUGGUACACCGUAUCGGAAGGUGCGGCUGGAU